rnacentral:lncRNA from 1 species
CCAUCUGGAGUUUCUCUGUGCCUUGCUGAUGAUCUGAGCUCAAACCUGCCAGAUAAGAAAACCUCCUGUAACAUCUGAGUUGCAAAAAUAUCUGCCUCUAAGAAUUCAGGAGGACCUACUUUGUGGGAGAAAAGGUAGUGAGUCAUACCUGCGAACUUGGAAAUGAGAGUUUGCUUGUGCUUCUUCAUCCAGUUGGGAAGUUUCCUAGGCAACCAUUUAUGCAGCAAUUAAAAGAUGAGGAGUUAAGAGGAGAAAAUGGGAAAAACAGAGGUACCUUUAAUGGAACAGAAUAAACCACUGAACAGGUAACUAAAUUAUCAGGGGUUGGUACACAUU